rnacentral:rRNA from 1 species
UGGGGAAUAUUGGACAAUGGGCGCAAGCCUGAUCCAGCCAUGCCGCGUGCGGGAAGAAGGCCUUCGGGUUGUAAACCGCUUUUGUCAGGGAAGAAAAGGUUCUGGUUAAUACCUGGGACUCAUGACGGUACCUGAAGAAUAAGCACCGGCUAACUACGUGCCAGCAGCUGCGGUAAUACGUAGGGUGCAAGCGUUAAUCGGAAUUACUGGGCGUAAAGCGUGCGCAGGCGGUUAUGCAAGACAGGGGUGAAAUCCCCGGGCUCAACCUGGGAACUGCCUUUGUGACUGCAUAGCUAGAGUACGGUAGAGGGGGGUGGAAUUCCGCGUGUAGCAGUGAAAUGCGUAGAUAUGCGGAGGAACACCGAUGGCGAAGGCAAUCCCCUGGACCUGUACUGACGCUCAUGCACGAAAGCGUGGGGAGCAAACAGG